rnacentral:rRNA from 1 species
GGGUGAGUAACACGUGGGCAACCUGCCUGUAAGAUCGGAAUAACCCCGGGAAACCGGGGCUAAUGCCGGGUAAUACUUUCUUUCGCAUGAAGGAAAGUUGAAAGAUGGCUUCUUGCUAUCACUUACAGAUGGGCCCGCGGCGCAUUAGCUAGUUGGUGAGGUAACGGCUCACCAAGGCGACGAUGCGUAGCCGACCUGAGAGGGUGAUCGGCCACACUGGGACUGAGACACGGCCCAGACUCCUACGGGAGGCAGCAGUAGGGAAUCUUCCGCAAUGGACGAAAGUCUGACGGAGCAACGCCGCGUGAACGAUGAAGGUCUUCGGAUCGUAAAGUUCUGUUGUUAGGGAAGAACAAGUACCGUGCGAAUAGAGUGGUACCUUGACGGUACCUAACGAGGAAGCCCCGGCUAACUACGUGCCAGCAGCCGCGGUAAUACGUAGGGGGCAAGCGUUGUCCGGAAUUAUUGGGCGUAAAGCGCGCGCAGGCGGUUCCUUAAGUCUGAUGUGAAAGCCCACGGCUCAACCGUGGAGGGUCAUUGGAAACUGGGGAACUUGAGGACAGAAGAGGAGAGUGGAAUUCCACGUGUAGCGGUGAAAUG